GAAGCAUAGUUUAAAGGUUAGAAUACUGGUCUCCAAAACCAUAGGUGGAGGUUCAAUUCCUCCUGCUU
rnacentral:tRNA from 1 species